rnacentral:rRNA from 1 species
GACGAACGCUGGCGGCGUGCCUAAUACAUGCCAGUUGAGCGCUGAAGGUUGGUACUUGUACCCACUGGAUGAGCAGCGAACGGGUGAGUAACGCGUGGGGAAUCUGCCUUUGAGCGGGGGACAACAUUUGGAAACGAAUGCUAAUACCGCAUAAAAACUUUAAACACAAGUUUUAAGUUUGAAAGAUGCAAUUGCAUCACUCAAAGAUGAUCCCGCGUUGUAUUAGCUAGUUGGUGAGGUAAAGGCUCACCAAGGCGAUGAUACAUAGCCGACCUGAGAGGGUGAUCGGCCACAUUGGGACUGAGACACGGCCCAAACUCCUACGGGAGGCAGCAGUAGGGAAUCUUCGGCAAUGGACGAAAGUCUGACCGAGCAACGCCGCGUGAGUGAAGAAGGGUUUCGGAUCGUAAAACUCUGUUGGUAGAGAAGAACGUUGGUGAGAGUGGAAAGCUCAUCAAGUGACGGUAACUACCCAGAAAGGGACGGCUAACUACGUG